GAGCGUAUGGCUCAGUGGUAGAGUGUGUGCUUAGUAUGCAUGAGGUCCUGGGUUCAAUCCCUAGUACCUCCA
rfam:Camelus ferus unplaced genomic scaffold scaffold1985, whole genome shotgun sequence.